rnacentral:lncRNA from 1 species
GAGAGGACGCGGGAAGCCAGUGUGCCCCGGACGCAGUGUCCUAGCGCUCAUCGGGUCAUCCUCUGCAGCCCAGAUUGUCCCUGUCCAAGACUGCGGAAUGAAGAAUCCAGGUUGGGAGCCGAUUGAAGCCCCGACUCCGUCCUCAGUCCUCUUUCCCUACCAAGGAUGGCUUCAGGCUCCCGAAGUUGGCGGCAAAGGAAUCUGUGCAGAGCGCCAUGAAUUAGAGGAUGGGGGAAUGAGUGCUUGAAGAUGCCCGAGGUAUGGUCCUUAUCCGUGUGACAUUUGGAGGUCCAGGUGAGAAAUCAGGGUUGAAAACUGCAUGGAGGAUUCAUCAUUUCUGCCCUGAAUUGGAAUCAAUUCCUUAUUGACUUAUUAUUACUGUAUUAAAAGUGUUUUUAAUUAACCAUGG